UACGAAGGGGCUAGCGUUGCUCGGAAUCACUGGCGUAAGGUGCGUAGGCGGUCUUUAAGUCAGGGUGAAUCCUGAGCUCACUCAGACUGCCUUGAUACUGAAGAUCUGAGUCGGAGAGUGAGUGACUGCGAGUGUAGAGUGAAUCGUAGAUAUUCGCAGACACAGUGCGAAGCGCUCACUGCCGAUACUGACGCUGAGCACGAAGCGUGGAGCAACAGGG
rnacentral:rRNA from 1 species